CAGGCCUAAUCAGAACCAGAUGAGCAAGUCGAUUCAUCACAGAAGAACACUGUAUAAAGAUACUGAUCUGAAAAUAAGAUAAGAGAGACGGAGGUUAAUGUAACAAUCAUAUAAGAACGAGAGUGUGUGUGCAUUUACACGCAUGUAUCCGUCCAUGUUUGUGUGUGGAGUGUGUCUCUCCCUUAGGGUCUCUGAAGGGCUCAUCCGUCUCCCCCUCCUCUCCUCAGCGUGUUGAGCUGAGCUGCCAUACUGAGCAGAGGGCCUCAGAGGGGAGGUGGAGAUGAUAGGGCUUAAUUAAUCCUGAUUAAAUAUGGGGCUGUAAUUUCAAGGAACAGCUCUCUCCCAGGUCUCCUGAUCCCUCAGAGGUCAGAGAGGCAGGAGGACUGUAGUUUAGAGGAACAGCUCUCUCCCAGGGCUCCUGAUCCCUCAGAGGUCUGAGAGGCAGGAUGGCUGUAGUUUAGAGGAACAGCUCUCUCCCAGGUCUCCUGAUCCCUCAGAGGUCUGAGAGGCAG
ensembl:lncRNA